CUCCCUGUGGCUCAAUUGGUAGAGCAUGGUGUUUGCAAUGGUGUUUGCAACGCCAGGGUUGUGGGUUCAAUUCCCACAGGGGGC
rfam:Salmo salar isolate Sally breed double haploid chromosome ssa02, whole genome shotgun sequence.